GAAAACUCGACGUUCGUGACGUCACAUACCAAACAAUACGUCAUUCAAAAAAUUUACCUAUUUUGAGGAAAAUUUUUCUUAAGCAAAAAAAAAACCAAAACUGACUUUAUGUAAAAAAAAAAAAAAAAAAAAAAAAAAAGUAGGGGUGUGAUAAAGGGUAGGGGUGUGAUAAAGGGUAUGCGAUAAAGGGUAGGGGUGUGAUAAAGGGUAUGCGAUAAAGGGUGCGCAUCAAAGUUGCGCGAUAUUGAUUAAACAGCAGGCUAUUUAUCACAUAUGCAAAACUACUGUAUUUACUACUAAACAUAUGAUAAAUAUUGAUAUUCAGUACAUUUU
rnacentral:lncRNA from 1 species